rnacentral:lncRNA from 1 species
CGCGAGAGGUAAACAAAGAGCGGAGAGGCGUCGGCGCGUCACGUGGUGGCGGUGUGGUGUGCAUGCGCUGUGUUUGGCCAAUUUCCAUUGCUUGUUAGGUGAUAAUGAGCAACUUCCAAAGCAAUAUAUGUGAAAAUCUGAGGAAAACAUCCUUGCACCUGGUAAAGUGCAAAGAACAUCUGCCUUGGUGGUGACAAACUGGAAACACUGGGACUGUGCCUGGCCAAUUUCAUAUUUCACAGAUGAGGUGCUCGUGUGGGAACAGUGAAGACAGGCUGCUCCAAAAGGGUGGUGAGCUGGGAGUGGAGCCAUGUGGAAAUGAACAAAGCCACUAAGGAAGAACAUGUCAAGAUGAGAAAAAAUAAAUGGACAGCAGAAACUGGUGUAAUCUCAGGGCCAAAAUCUCUUACUCCAAGUUUUGAAAUGAGUAUUGGUAGAAGUUGGCUCCUCUUGAAAUCUGAGAAAUUAAAUUCAAAUCAUUUAAAUGAAACGGGCAGUCUGUAACAUAAACUGGGAGCUUAAUACAAAUGAAACCACCAUAACGUGUUGUGUCUCAUCUAAACACAUUAUUAUUCUCAAAGGCCUCUAUAAACAUUAAUAACUGAAUGAUGUUUUAACCUCUGAUUCACAAACAGAGGAUAAAAUUAAAAAUGGAAAAGGAUUAUACUUUUUUCUAAAUUGCAUUUUACUUGUGAGUUUGAUAGGGGGACAAUUGGCCUAGCAUAAACAGUAUCAUAUUUGUCGUGGCUUUUAAAGUGCAUCCAAUUAUAAUUUGAGUGAUAAACUAAUGCUGCUAACCAGGUUAGUGCAGCCCAGCUGGGCCCUGAAAUGUUUUAGUGAACACUGCUUGCUUAAUCCAAUAAUCUCUAAUCCAUAGCGUGGGAGAAAUGUUUCCAUCAGGAAGCUGAAGUAGUAAAUGUAUCAUGUCGUUUAGAAGAUUAUAGCCAGGCCUGCCUCUGCAGUCUGGUCUCAGAAGGACACUCUGUACCAAUUAUGUCCAGCUCUCUGCUAGGCUGAGACCAAAUCUCAGGAUAUUUGCAGCAGAGUGCUGUUCUGUCACCUCGGCACUGGGGUCGGAUUAAUUCCCCUUUUGUCACGCUAGUGUUAAUAACUUCUUACAUACGUCAGUAAAUGGUAACUGUUGUCCCUUGUCUUUUGCAAUUCACAAAGCAAGACUGGAAUAAAAGUUCUGAAUCUAAGUGCUUGUGACAUCACCUUAUAUCACCAUGAUAUGGACCCAUUAUGGGAACUACUGCCAUGCUAUUGAUAGACCUGUCAUUCUAGCUUUGUGUCUUGAUCUCUCGAGCCUGCCUCUGCUCACCCUUCUCAUGCCAGUCCUCUGUUUAGAUGAGGUGACACUACUGGAGCUUCCCCAUUAUCUAUCUGCAGAGCUUCUGCCUCUUGUGGGCAAAGUGCAUGUUUGGGAGGAGGAGGAAGAUGAGGAGAGCUGUGUGUUGUCACGGGAAGGCAAGAGGGCAGGAGGGGGUUGUGCUGGACUUGGAAAAUGUCUGUGGUGCAGUGCAGAUUUUGCCAUGAAAUAGAGGCUCAUGAGGGAGCUCUCAUCUCUCAUCCCACUGAGACCAGAAUGCAGGGAGGGAAGUCCUUCCUGUGCCAGGCCACUUUCCUUCGAAAGCAGAGUGAUCCUCUCCAAAAGAUUUAAUGCUACAGCAAUGCUUAGCAGUUUUACAGUUCUAUUCUUGGCAACCCUGUAAUGAAAGAUUCAAAUGCCCUGGGUUGGCUUUUGUGGCAGGUUGAGUGCUCUCUGCUUAUGCUGGCCCAAAUGACUGAUGGAUGUGUUUGGUGCUGCUCUGCCCAGCGCUGACAGUUCUGAUGAAGCACUGAGGUCAAACAGAAAGCCAUGGCUCUAGGGAAUGGCAACAGGCUUAGUUCAGCAUAUUUGGACUGAAGCAGAGCUGGCACAUUUGGCAAGAAAGAAAGAUUGCCCAGAUGAGGCUCUGAUUACAUAUUUAACAGACAGUGCUUUUAAAGCCAGUUCUCCUCUUGAGUUUAUGAUCAGUUCAAAUUCUGUGGGUUAGAGAAAUACGAGCCAACAUGUCACAGCAGAGAACAAAAAGAUCGAUGACAAGCACUCACAUCAGACACAACUGGAUGACUGAGGGUAUGACAUCAAAGAUGAAAAUAGGUGCUUGGCUGUGGCUGGUAUUAAAUUAGGGAUUAUCAGCAGGUUUGCCUCUUCGCAAAGGACUGUGUGUGGGUCUCAGUUACGUUAUCUAGCAAA